GACGAACGCUGGCGGCGUGCUUAACACAUGCAAGUCGAACGGUAAGGCCCUUUCGGGGGUACACGAGUGGCGAACGGGUGAGUAACACGUGGGUGAUCUGCCCUGCACUUCGGGCUAAGCCUGGGGAACUGGGUCUAAUCCCGGAUAGGACCACUGCCUGCAUGGGCGGUGGUGGAAAGCUUUUGCGGUGUGGGAUGGGUCCGCGGCCUAUCAGCUUGUUGGUGGGGUGAUGGCAUACCAAGGCGACGACGGGUAGCCGGCCUGGGAGGGUGACCGGCCACACUGGGACUGAGAUACGGCCCAGACUCCUACGGGAGGCAGCAGUGGGGAAUAUUGCACAAUGGGCGCAAGCCUGAUGCAGCGACGCCGCGUGAGGGAUGACGGCCUUCGGGUUGUAAACCUCUUUCAGCACCGACGAAGCGCAAGUGACGGUAGGUGCAGAAGAAGGACCGGCCAACUACGUGCCAGCAGCCGCCGUAA
rnacentral:rRNA from 1 species